GUUUCUUUGCUAAGACAGCAUAAUCCAGCACUGAAAUACAGAAAAGCGUGGGGUGAUCAGGAAUGCACAAAUUGCUUCUAACUCAUGCCCCCUUUCUAGGUUACCUGCUCAUUAAUAAUCUCCUUUAUGAAGUGGACAGAGUGAUGAAAUGCCAGUGUUGAUGUGGGAAACUGGCAGGGAGAAGAAACACUGUCAUAUUGCACUAAGGAAAAGGAGUGGUUUCUCUAGAUGGAUUUUAAUAGCUACUAUUGUCUCGCACUAUCUUUUCCACUUUACCAAAAUUUGAGAAGUAUGGCUGGAGAAAAUUAGAGAAUUUAUUUCAUUUAUCUACACAAUUUAAGGUUUUGAAAGAAUAUUUAACUACAUAGCUAAAACAAUAAAUGUAUUUCCCUUGCAGCUCUUUUUGAUUUUCUGGAUAUUGCCUCUGCCUCAGCUGCUGUCUCAUUCUGGAGCUUCCCUUCAGCACCUCAGGCCUCCUCGCCCUACAACAUCUCUUUGUCGAGUUGGCCCCCUCGUUGUCUACUAUCAAGUUCCCCUCAUAGCCUCCACUUAGGGGAGGGAACCCAGCUGGCCAACCUUCAUUUAACUUUACAGACUUUGACCUCAUCAUGCCCCUAAAAGGGUUCCUACCCCAACUCUUCAACUCCCUUUUAUGGGUUGUCACCCCUAUUUGACUGUAAGCUCUUUGAGGGCAGGGGACAUGUCUUUUUUUUGUACCAGAGGAAGUGCUUAAGAAAUGUUUACUGAAUUGAACUUUUCCUGUUAUUUGUAUCCCUUCUCUAGCACUGAGUAGAACACUGGGGACAUAUUAAGUAUUUAAUAAAUGCUUUGAGCCUUGUCACCCAAGCUCAGGCUUUCCCGAAAACACAAAAGCUCCAAAAGAAGCAAACAAUACUUUUCUCCUUACACAUUAAUAUGCUAGUUUGAUUAACAAGCAGGUGAGAUAAAGGACUCUCAAAAUUAUUUAAAUAACCAACCCCCCAAACCAAAACUAACAACACCCCCCACCCCCAAACAGAAUAAGUUCUUUCAUCUUCAUUAUCUCUUUAACCUGGAACAACCUGGCAUUUGGAACAUCCACAUAUACCAUUUUACUGCAAAGGGAAUCUGAAUGAUCAUGGCCACAGGGCUUUUUCCUCCUUUCAUGACAUUUCUCUGACCAAAAGCCUCUUAUGAUUUCCUAUUUCUUAAAACACUUCACCUGCUCUGCUGCUUAAUCCCAUGGCUCCUCACUCUCUGAGACACCAGCUGCAUGUUCUCUCCCCAAGCCAUGCUGCUCCUUUCCAUUUAUGACAUGACUUGGUCAAAGUGACCUGCCUACCACUUUUUGCUCUCCUGCCAAGGUGCUUUUAUUGACCCCUGGAAUGUGGCCCCUCACAAAACCUCCACUCCAUCUGUAGCUCAAACACCACUUCCUCUACAAGCAUUUCCAUCCUUCUGAUACAACAAACUCAAGACUCCAGAUAGCAUUUUGAAUCAGUAAGGGGAACAGUAGAGUGAGGUAAGAGGAACCAGGAUUAUCAGAGGGUUUCUGAGAGACUGUGGCAUGGGGGAAAGGAGAAGCACCAAGAACUGGAAAAUCAGGAAGGGACUUCUGAAGAAGAUGGCAGGAGAGUUGAGUCUUAUAGGCAGGGAAGGGACUACCAUGAGACUGAGAACAGGAUGAAGAGCAUUCCAGAAAAGGGGAAUGGCCCAUGAAAAGGGGGAAUUAGAAGGUUGUGUAUGGGACUGUAAAUGGGCUAGUUUGGCUGAAAUGCAGUGGAUUAAAGUGUAAAAAGGAUAGGCUGAAAUUUGGAUUUUAUCCUGGAAGCACUAAAGCCUCAUUAGCAGAUGAGUAACAUGGUCAGACACAUAGUGCGUGGCUAAAAGAAUCUAGGCCAGUGAUGGGAAACGUAUGGCAUGGGUGCUAAAGAUGGCAUGCAGAGCCCUCUUUGUGGACAUAUGUCCUACCCCCCCUCCCCCAGUUUGCUACUAGAUAGGCAGAAGGACUUGGGCAGAGCUGUGUCCCUCCCCCUCUACACCCUCCCCGACAUUGUUCCACAACACUUGCCCCUCAGCAGCCCAAUGGGAGCACUUUCUCCCUCUGCUGUGUGGGAUAAAGAGGGGGAACAGCACACAGUCAGGGAUGGGGUGGGGCCCAGUGGCACUCUGUCUCUAAAAGGUUUGCCAUCACUGAUCUAGGCUGUCUCUGGUUUGAGCAGGCAAAGAGAAAUAAUUUUGUAAUCUCUUUCCCAAAGAAAAUGCUUAUCUGGCAUUAAAAAAAACACAAAACUGUAUGGUUAUCGUCUCAUGUGUUUGUCUCUUCAGUGAAAUGGUAAGAUCCAUCUCGCAGAGCAAUGAGGCAGUACAGUGUGUGCUCAGUAAUCUAAGCCCUAGCAUGGAAAGCACUAGAGUAAGAUUCUAAUGUAUAAGACCAAUGAUAAAUUUCCCUUUUCUAGAAGACAAUUAUAGUCUUAAAAAUUUAUGACAAUAUCCAUUUCAAUAAUCGUAUUAGGACAGCUGACUAAAACAUUUAGAAGUAUACCCAUGUAUUAAUGUAUUCAAAUCAAGUAUUUUCUAAUUUAAAACUAGUAAUCUAUUCUUGGAAGUUAGUAAAGAACACUUCAAUUAACUAUUUAUGAAUAGUUGCCAAAAAAACUCAACUAGGGUCAUGAAGAGUCAGAUAUGACUGAAUGACAUCUAGGAAUAGAUCACAGCAAUAGGCUCCCAUUAAAAUUUUCUCAAAUACUACACUAAAGUAAUUUGUGAUUUAAAAAUUACAAGUAUGUUGACAUGCAUUGAAUGAAUUUUCAAAUUUAUACAUAUAUAUGCAAUGUAUUUUGGAGACUAUUAUUUCUAUUCUUUAAUGUUAUGUUCUUUGAUUCUAUCUCUUUUUAUUUACUAGGAAAAAACAAAGACCACCAGAAAUCUCUGGUGGGAUGUAAUCUUCACAGCUGAUAAAGGAAAGCUUUUAAGUGCUCACCUGUAUUUAAUAUUUAAUAAUAUAGUGUCUUGUAGUACCUAUCUUUUUAUGUGUUCAUCUUUUUCAUGGAUAUGUUUUUUUCUUUUAAAAGACAAUUUUGAACUUAAGAGUUUAAAUGAUAAAAUCUAUGGAUUUCUUGAAACAACAAAAUCUAAAAUAAACAAUUAUAUUUACCCUGACUCUUACCUUAUGAUCUACCCCACGGAGGCAAUAUUAGUAUUUAUUUUGGCCAUGCAGAGGUGAGUUUACAUUUUCCCUUCUCUUUUUUUUGUGGGUUUCAUUUGAGGGAACUACAGCAGAGCUAUCAGGAAUCUCAGAGGCCAUCUAGUUUAACUCAUACUUGACCAAGAAUCCUUUUAACAAUACUCUUAUAAGUGGUCAUUCAGCCUUCUCUCUAAGCCCUUUAAUGAGAGGCAAUCCAUUAUUACCUGAGGCAUUCUAUUCCACUUUUGGUUGAUUUAGAAUAGUUAAGGAGUCAAAAUUUAAAAAAAGUUUAACUCUACCUUUCUGCAGAUUCUAUAUACUGCUAUUUACAGUGGCUCUUUCCUAUUCUAAAAUUUCCUAGUUCCUCUUGACAAAUUUACAUACAACCUGUUUAUCACAUUCCCUGGGCAUUUUGUUCUGGACACCUUUCAGUUUAUCAACAACCUUUUAAAAAUACUGUGCCCAGAAUGGAACUAACGUGGUCAGGGCAGAGAAAAUCAUAACUAUCAUCUCACAGAUUACUUGGUUACUAUUCCUCACUUAAAGCAGCCUAAACUCAAAAUAGCUUUUUUGGGGUCGCUAUAUUAACUUAUCAGAGCAUUUAAUAGGUGAUCAGUAGAACUUGGAUCCAAUAUUCAAUAAAACCACCCAAUCCGUAUCUUACAAACUCUUAUAAAGCUAUGUCUCCCUCCCUCAUCUUGUAAUUAGAUUGCUUUUUUGGACCCCAAGUCCAAGGUUGUACACAAUUAUUCCUACUUAGUAUCACUUUUUUAAAAUGCUUUUUCUGUCUCUCUACAUUUGGUACAAUGUUCUAAUCUAUUGAGAUUUUUGGAUUUUGCCAAUCUAUUACCCGCAUCUCUUGGCUGUGUGUUAAGUGUGAAUCUGAUACCAUUUCACCUUUCAAGAAAGUCACUAUUAAAAUAUUAAAUAGCACAAAA